AUACUAGCUUCAGCAGCACAUAUACUAAAACUGGAAUGAUACAGAGAAGACUAGCAUUGCCCCUGUUUAUUUUGUCUCCUGAUAACUUGGCAAAGAGGCACCUUUUU